UGGAAAAUUCCAAUUGGAAUAUUUGGUUAAUGGGAAAAUUCCAAUUGGAGAAUAAAGUUCAGUUUUAAAAUGGGAAAUUUCCAAUUGGAAGGACAGGUAAGAUUUUGUAAUGGGAACAUGUAGGAAAUGGGAAUAAAGAAAAAUAUUGCCAUAUUUAAAGCAAAAAUUAGCAAAAUGACACUUCUUACAAUGUCCUUACCUGUCAACUGUCGACUUAUCCAUAUUCCUCAUCGCUGUUAUAUUACAAUAGUUAGCAUGACGUCUAACCAUCGUAUUGCUUCAUUAACCCUGUAUCAGAUACUAGUACAAUUUUUUAUCCGAUUGAAAAAAAAGACAAACAAAAAAAUCCAUCUUUCAUCAAUUCGCCUUAUUCCAGAAGCCCAUAAUGCUUUGCGACAAAGGUGACUUCCGGUUUAUUUCCGCAUUCAAUUUCCUAGUUAUCGAUACGAGUGAAAGGAAGAGCAUAACUGGCAAAAUAGAUUGAUAGAGAUGUCCAUUCUGGAUGUUUGAUUCCGCCAAGUUGAUGCUCAACAGGAGUAGGCAGUUGAUACCAUUGAUCUGAUAGCACCUGCUAUAUCAAUGGUUUUACAAGAAAAAAUUGUGCAAAACACAAGAGACGGAAUCGGUUCAAGAACAGAGAUAAAAUAAAUGAAGUGUGUCAAUAUGAAUGAAAACUUUCCUUGACUGCAAGGACUAAAGAAAUGCAGACAAGUGACAUAAAUUUAAAUGUUUGGUACAAAAAGUAGACAUUUAAAACUUAAAAUUAUGACACAGGAUGUGAAACAACACUUUAUAGCCGAUAACAGUCGAACAAGAGAUUUUUCAAAAAGAAGCAAGAUGUGGUUUUUUUAACCCUUGGCAAAUGAACCUUUAAAGGGAUUAUUGCAUACCAAGGACAAUUUAUUGUUAUUGAAUUAUAUCAUGUUUAAUGUUAUUAUUAAAUUAUAAAAAAUA